GUUAGUUUGGAAAGAAUAGAAGAAGGAAUAGAUGUUCACCCAGACCAGUAGUUCUCAAAUAGGUCGAGUUGUUUCCCUGAUGAAUCUCAAUGUGUCUACCGAGAUGUUCCAGUUGAAGAUCUAGUAAUUAAAGGUCUCUUUACACCAGAGCUAAGAUCAUGAAUAAAGGAGCAGCUUUGGGUCUGCAGAGAUUACAUAGGAAUGUAUGUUUCUGGCAGGUCAUUUGCCAUCUUUGCAAGGAGUGUACAUGGAUGUCAUCAUUACAAAGGAUGUGAGAGGAAAAAUUUAUUCAAGAAGCACUUAUUAAAAUUUCAUCCACUGAGCUGGAUCCUUAAUUUAUAUACUUGUUUGUAGAUUUUGUUUCUCUUUAAGUAUUUUUUAAAAAUUCAUAUGGAAUAUUUCUUAUAAUCCCAAGUUUAUUGUUGUUAUGGUCAACCACUAAUUACUUGAAAAAUGUAAUAUAAAAUUGUUUAUCUUUUAUGAAGUCUCUUAGUUACCUUUUGAUACAGUUUGGCUGUGUACUCACCCAAGUCUCAUCUUGAAUUAUAGCUCUCAUAAUCCCCACGUGUUGUGGGAGGGACCUGAUGGGAGGUAAUUGAAUUAUAUGGAUGGGUUUUCCUAUGUUGUUCUUGUGAUAGUGAAUAAGUCUCAUGAGAUCUGAUGGUUUUAUAAAGGGCAGUUUCCCUGCACAUGCUCUCUUGCUUGCUGCCAUGUGAAUGUGCCUUUGCUCCUCCCUCAUCUUCUGGGAUGAUUGUGAGGCCUCCUUAGCCAUGGGGACUGUGCCAUUAAACCUCUUUUUCUUUAUAAAUUACCCAGCCUUGGGUAUUUCUUCAUAGCAGUAUAAAAAUGGACUAAUACAGUAAAUUGGUACUGGUAGAGUGGGGUACUGCUAUUAAGAUAUCUGAAAAUGUGGAAGCAACAUUGGAACUGGGUAACAGGCAGAGGUUGGAACAAUUUGGAGGGCUCAGAAGAAGACAGGAAGAUGUGGGAAAGUUUGGAACUUCCUAGAGACUUGUUGAAUGGCUUUCACUAUAAUGCUGAUAGUAAUAUGAACAAUAAAAUCCUAGCUAAGGUGGUCUCAGAUUGAGAUGAGGAGUUUGUUGGAAACUGGAGUAAAGGUCACUCUUGCUAUGCAAAGAGAUGUGCUGCAUUUUACCCCCACCCUAGAGAUCUGUGGAACUUUGAACUUGAGAGAGAUGAAUUAGGGUAUCUGGUAGAAGAAAUUUCUAAGCAGCAAAGUGUUCAAGAAGUAACAGUGCAUAAAAGUUUGGAAAAUUUGCAGCUUGAUGAUGUGAUAGAACAAAAAGCCCAUUUUCUGGGGAGAAAUUCAAGCCACUGCAGAAAUUUGCAUAAGUAAUGGGGGACCAAAGAGUAAUCCCCAAGACAAUGGGAAAAAUGUCUCCAGGGCAUAUAAGAGACCUUCACAGCAGACCCUCCCAUCACAGGCUCAGGGACCUGGGAGGAAAAAAUGGUUUUGUGGGCCUGGUUCAGGGCUUCCUUCCUGUGUGCAGCCUAGGGACUUGGUGCCCUGUGUCCCAGAUACUGCAGUCAUGGCUAAAAGUGGCCAAAGUACAGCUCAGGUCAUUGCUUCAGAAAGUGCAAGUCCCAAAGUCUUGACAGCUUCCACAUGGUGUUGGUCCUGUGAGUGCACAGAAGUUGAGAAUUGAGUUUUUGGGAACCUCUGCCUAGUUUUCAGAGGAUGUAUGGAAAUACCUGGAUGUCAAGGCAGAGGUGUGAUGCAGGGGUGGAGCCCUCAUGGAGAACAUCUGCUAGGGCAGUGCAGAAGGGAAAUAUAGGGUGGGAGCCUCCACACAGUGUCCCUAUUGGGGUACUUCCUUGUGGAGCUGUGAGAAGAAGGCCACCAUUCUCCAGAUCCCAGAAUGGUAGAUCCACUGAAAGCUUGAACUGUGUACCUAAAAAAGCCACAGACACUCAAUGCCAGCCCAGGAAAGUGGCCAGGAGGGAGGCUGUACCCUGCAAAGCCACAGGGGCAGAGCUGUCCAAGGCUGUGGGAGCCCACCUCUUGUAUCAGCAUGACCUGGAUGUGAAACAUGGAGUCAAAGGAGCUCAUUUUGCAGCUUUAAGAUUUGACUGCCCCACUGGAUUUUGGACUGGCAUGGGGCCUGCAGCCCCUUCGUUUUAAUCAAUUUCUCCCAUUUGGAAUGGCUGUAUUUACCAAUGUCUAUACCCCUAUUUUAUCUAGGAAGUAACUAACUUGCUUUUGAUUUAACAGGCUCAUAGGCAGAAGGAACUUGCCUUGUCUCAGAUGAGACUUUGGAUAUAGACUUUUGAGUAAAUGCUGAAAUGAG